rnacentral:lncRNA from 1 species
UUUAUACUGUAUUUACAUAUUAACAUACAGAUUUUUAAAUUAAUAUUAAAUUAUACUGUGAUGAUUAAGCAAAUCAAAAGACUGUUUGAUCUUUUUUUUUCCUUGGAUAAUGAAAGACAUCAUUGUUUCUUUUGGUAUCAUCAGUUUUGUUAUUUUUCCCUACAUACUUAAGGUACCAAAUCUACAUAGUCAAAGACUUGGCAACUUCAUUAUGAAUAUAUAGAAAAUAAAUGAAGAUAGAACAAAGAAUAUGAUUAGUUGGUGGUUAAGAGAAACAAACUUAUGAUUAAUAAAACAAAGAUACAAUUUAAUGAUGAUUAAAAAUGUUAGACAUCAAGAGCAAUCAUGGAAAUCAUGCAUCAACAUGAUACUAUAUACCCCCGUUUCAAAAUAUAAGAUGAGAGGUGUGCAUGUGUGUAUAGGGUGUCACAAUAGGGUAUUCAUAGAAGUGAAGGUCGGCUAAUGAAGGAUCAUGAUGAUAUGAACAUGUUGCACGCUUUUUAAUUUGUAUCCCCCAUAUAACAUGAAAUGUCUCUCAAGAUUACAACUUGUAAAACGUCUUCACAUCCCAAAAAAACUUGCCAAAAAAACUUACUAAAAACUUCUGAGCACAAUAGUAAAAACAAGUAAACUUAUGAUACUAUCAUACCAAGGAAAUCAAUUGACAAUACUAGAUCCUCAUGUACAAGUAAAUGAUAAAAAUCUACAUGUCAUCUCGACGACCCACCUUUAUUUUUAUCUCAACAAUCAAGUCAUCAUUCUCCUCAUAUCAUAUAUAUUUUAGUCAUGACCACAAAUUCAAAAGAAAAGUUGCCACAAAUGAAAUUUUAUUCUCUAUCUCAUUUUGGAGAAGGUUAAAAUUCCUAAAUAUCUUUUAUAAAUGGCCAAAGAAACUUUAGAUACUGUUAAAACUUGCACUUUUAAAUUAGCACCAAAUCUAGCUAGCCCAUUAAUGCUUUUAAGCCAUUAGGCCAUAUGAGAGUGUUCCUUUUAAACCCUACAUGACUUAUCACCUCCUUAGUGGUUCGUAUCUCUAUCCAGGCCCAUGGUAUUACAUUUCUCCUAAAGUAGUACGAUCCAAGCUAGUUUAGAAAUAAUAGUUAAGACAAAGACUUCCCUAGUAGCACCGUUCCUAUGUGGGAACACAUCAAGGUACGUAUGACAGAGGCCAAGCUAUAGUAAAUUCAAGUUCGGUUCCAUAUUUUUAGUUUUAUUUUUUUAUCAAUAAAUCUAUCGGCUAAUCCGGUAUAAUUCGGUAAAAACGCACCAAAAUACUUCAGAAUGGACUAUUUUCCAAAAUGUCACUACACUAUCCAUCUCGAAUUUGAAAUGUUUUCCGACUAUUGUCAGGGGGUAGUUAGGCCGCAUGCAUUUCUGACUACUAUGUAAACCAAUUAGGCAUUGGCUCACACAAAUUUGAGUACCAUAAAUCUUAAUACUUUAUCAUACAAAUCUAUUCUAUUUGAACAUUCUUAGCAAAUAUCUUCAUAACAAUCAACAUAUAUAUUCACAUGCUUUUAUUGCAAAUGUAUAAAACAAUCAAAAACAAAAGACAUAACAUAAGUUUUUGUACAUAUGUUACAUGCCUCACGAAAAACAAAUCCCCAACCAUAUAUAAGAAAGAAGAAAGAACUCAAACAUCACAAAGAAGAGAGAUCAAUGGAGAUAACAAGUGGAGAGUCUCCUUUUUCGACGACGAACGUUUUGAGAAGAAUCCCGGCCGGAGUACAAAUUU